GACGAACGCUAGCUACAGGCUUAACACAUGCAAGUCGAGGGCCCGGCGCACGGGUGAGUAACACGUAUCCAACCCCCCCUUUACUCGGGGAUAGCCUUUCGAAAGAAAGAUUAAUACCCGAUAUAAAGGAUGGGGAUGGGUUCCAUUAGGUUGUUGGUGAGGUAACGGCUCACCAAGCAUUCGAUGCGUAGGGGUUCUGAGAGGAAGGUCCCCCACAUUGGAACUGCGACACGGUCCAAACUCCUACGUGAAGCAGCAGUGAGGAAUAGUGUUCAAUGGGCGCUAGCCUGAACCUGCCAAGUAGCGUGAAGGAUGAAGGCUUAUGGGUCGUAAACUUCUUUUAUAUAAGAAGAUGUAUUAUAUGAAUAAGGAUCGGCUAACUCCGUGCCAGCAGCCGCGGUAAUUC
rnacentral:rRNA from 1 species